rnacentral:rRNA from 1 species
CCUACGGGAGGCUGCAGUCGAGAAUAAUUCACAAUGGGGGAAACCCUGAUGGUGCGACGCCGCGUGGGGGAAUGAAGGUCUUCGGAUUGUAAACCCCUGUCAUGUGGGAGCAAAUUAAAAAGAUAGUACCACAAGAGGAAGAGACGGCUAACUCUGUUCCGGCAGCCGCGGUAAUACAGAGGUCUCAAGCGUUGUUCGGAAUCACUGGUCGUAAAGGGUGCGUAGGCUGUUUCGUAAAGCGGGUGUGAAAGGCGCGGGCUCAACCCGCGGACGGCACAUGAUACUUCGAGACUAGAGUAAUGGAGGGGGAACCGGAAUUCUCGGUGUAGCAGUGAAAUGCGUAGAUAUCGAGAGGAACACUCGUGGCGAAGGCGGGUUCCUGGACAUUAACUGACGCUGAGGCACGAAGGCCAGGGGAGCGAAAGGGAUUAGAUACCCGGGUAGUC